CAUGUGCUUUCGGGUCUCAUGACUGAAACCACAGGACUGCUCGGCAUUUAUAGUUUGAUCCAGACUGAAUCAAAUUAUUCGCCCAGAGAGAGCUCUUGUAUUUCUAUGCUAUUGCCAGCUAAUUUUCCUCGUUUAAACCUCGAGUUUAGAGAAACGCGCGGACCUCUUGCUUAUUCAUAUUACAAUUAUUACACGCAGUUCCAAUAAUUAUUUAAUUCAAUGUAUUUAUACAAUUAAUUUUUUGGUGUACUUAACAGUUGCUUAACAACAUUUACAUUCAGGCCUAUUUGUAUUCUGAUACAUGUAUGAGUUUAUUCUUGCGAUCUUUAAAGUCGUGUCAAACUUGUAAACGUUACAGUGUUUAUGUGAAUUGUUUCCAGCAUUUUCUACGCAGAGCGGCCGACCGGAGCCGCGGGGAAACAGCGCCCCCCUGAGGAGCAGACACUACACGCCCGGACACGGGGAAGAGAUGGGGCUUGUUCACGCUCCUCUUUGCCUACUUACAGUUUUGUCCAAACGAAUGAAGCCUGCGGUCGCUGCAGUGGAUCCUCCGAGAAGAUGCACUCAGUCUCUGAACCGUCCUACAGCUCCUGAGAGCAUCAGGCCAUUCAAUCCAGCUGUGACCCGGACCUGCAUGUAAACUGCACUUAAAACACUUCACAUUUUAAGACUAAUAACAUCUUAGUCACGCACUGUCAAAUGUUUGCCAUCUUUUUUGCCGAAUAAAGUGAUGCAGUGUGUUUUCUGAA